rnacentral:rRNA from 1 species
UAUCUCUGUAGAGUCUGCAUAUCAAUAAGCGGAGGAAAAGAAACUAACAAGGAUUCCCCUUAGUAACGGCGAGUGAAGCGGGAAGAGCUCAAAUUUGAAAUCUUCAAGGUUUGACCUUGACGAAUUGUAGUUUAAAGAAGUGUUUUCGGUUAGAGGAGUAGUAAAAGUUCUUUGGAAUAGGACAUCAUAGAGGGUGAGAAUCCCGUAUUUGACUAUUCUUUCUAGCUUUGUGAUACACUUUCAAAGAGUCGGAUUGUUUGGGAAUGCAGUCCAAAAUGGGUGGUAAAUUUCAUCUAAAGCUAAAUAUUGGCGAGAGACCGAUAGCGAACAAGUACCGCGAGGGAAAGAUGAAAAGAACUUUGAAAAGAGAGUUAAACAGUACGUGAAAUUGUCAAAAGGGAAGCGUUUGACACCAGUGUUGUUUUUCCGAAAAUCAAUUAAAAAUUGAUUCAUGCCAGGUUGUAUUGACCUUAUCAGCUUGCAAUUUGGUUUUGGGUCUCUUUUUGAUGCACUUUUCGGUUAACAAGUCAACAUCAAUUUCCUUUGCUGUAAAAAGGUAAGAGGAAGGUGGCUUCAAUUUCGGUUGAAGUGUUUAUAGCCUUUUAUCUCUGCAGUCGGGGAGAUUGAGGUCUGCAGCGUAGAUCCUUCGGGGCUAGAUACAUUUAUGCUAAGUUAUAGCUUUUCAUAGACAACUUGUUGACUAUGUUUAGUCAUGUAGCUUACUCGUAAGUGCUAUUUUACCUACGCUUAGGAUGUUGAGCGCAUGUCUCUCUCU